CCACAACCCUCCCCUUUCCCACUCCCUCUCCCCUUCCAUUCACAUCAAGAUUCAUUUUCGAUUAUCUUAAUAUACAGAAGAUCAGCUUAGUAUACAUUAAGUAUGGAUUUCAACAGUUUGCUCCCACACAGAAACAUAAAGUGAAAAAUAAUAGAUGAUUUUUUUUAAAUGAUGAUGAAAUCAGAUCAGACCUAUUGUCAUGUUUAAUCCCAGUGAGAGUCAAGUUGGGAAUUGAUAAUUUCUUUUUUUUUUUUUUUUACAGAGGAUCAGUUUAGUAUGCAUUAAGUAAGGAUUUCAACAGUUUGCACCCCCAUAGAAACACAAAGUGAAAUAUAUUGUUUGAGUACUUGUUAUAGCAUUAAAUCUCAAUGCACAGCACAUUAAGGAUAGAGAUCCUACAUGAGGAGUAAGUGCACAGUGACUCCUGUUGUUGACUUUACCAAUUGACACUCCUGUCUAUGGCAUCAGUAAUCUCCCUAUGCUCCAGUCAUGAGUUUCCAAGGCUAUGGAAGCCCUCUGAGUUCUCCGACUCUUAUCUUGUUUAGACAAGGUCAUAGUCAAAGUGGAGGUUCUCUCCUCCCUUCAGAGAAAGCUACCUCCUUCUUUGAUGACCUGUUCUUUCCACUGGGAUCUCACUCGCAGAGAUCUUUUGCCAGAGUGUCUUGGCUUUCCAUGCCUGAAAUACUCUCAUGAGCUCUUCAGCCAGCUCUGAAUGCCUUUAGGGCUGAUUCUGAGGCCAGAGUGCUAUUUAGGACAUCUGCCAUUCUAUGAGUCUGCUGAGUAUCUCACUUCCCAUGUUGGAUCACUCUCCCCUUUAUUUACUCCAUCAGUUAGCAUUAGGAGGUACUAGACUUGUCUAUGUGCUCCCUUAGACUCCCAGUCCCUUCACCAUGACCAACUGUGAACUGAAACUGAUCACCUGGAACAGUGAGAUGGCAUUGGUACAUGCCACCUCGAUGGGAUUGAAUUGGAAUCCCCUGGUAUGCUUCCAACUCCACCACUUGGGGCAAGUCAGCCUGAGCAUGUCCCAAAUUAUACAUCUCUUCCCUCUCCCAUUCCCACCACCAUGUUCAACAGGGAUCACAUUUCAGUUAAUUUUCAACACUUAAGAAUAACUGUGCAUCAAUUACAGAUCUAAA